CUCUCUGCAGACCACCGGCUAGAGCAGGAGCACGAGCUCUUCCGCUGUUUCCAGGAUCCCUGCCGGCUGGGCACGCGCCAAAAGCAGCCCUGGGCCCUGGGGACCGCGCUGAGCACCUCCGUGCUCCACCAGUCCAUGGCCUCCUCCCCCAAGAUGCCGAGGCGGGCCCUGGAGCAGGAGAAAGGGCGCCACCUCUACCUGGCCGGCCUUCCCGGCAGAAGCCGCCGAGCUAAGCCCUGGAGAGGUCGGCGCCUGGACUACAUCACGUACCGCGGAGUUCCCGGGUGGCUGGGCCUGCGGCACUGGGACGACCCUCAACCUGACUCCCGCCCCCAGGAGGUGGAGCAGGUGACGUUCAGUACCGCCCUGGAGGGGCUCACGGACCACCGGGCAGUGCGCCUGCAGCUCCGAGUCUCAGUGUCCUCCUAAGGCAAGCACAGAUGAGGGGCGCGCGGCUGGCGCGCACAGACACGACUCGGAGCACGAACUAGGCGCCGUAGCUGCGUCCCCAGAACCGGGAGACUUAAGGCAUCUUUAUUGCGGGAUCCUCACACGGCCUCCUGGGCCCGGCGAUACUCAUAGACGCUGCCGUGCUCGGGAAAGGCCAGUGCUUGCGGGGGCGACCCCGGCGGUGGGGCGGGGUCCUCCGGGUCCCCAUAGCCACCGCCGCCGGGCGUGUGGAGACAGAACACAUCCUGUUGGCGCGGGGGGGGGCGGGGAGGCGGGCUCAGUGCAGGCGUGGCCCCUCCCUGUCACCUGCGCAGUCCCCUCCCCACCGGGCAGCGUCCAUCACCCGCCCCCAUGGACCACGGAGGCCCGGUACGCGCCCCCUUUCCUUCCGGGGCCAAAUUAAACUCGGCCUCUGGUCA
ensembl:lncRNA novel transcript